rnacentral:lncRNA from 1 species
AUGCCCUGGCUUUGGGGGACGUUGCCAACAAAAAAAGAAGCUGGCCAUGCGGCCCAGCAUGCUGUAUUUAGUGAAGGCCUGAGGAGGGAAAGGCAGGAACAGUCCCGUUGGAGGCCAAGUGCGGUGCAGCAGCUCAAGAAGGCAGCUCCGCGCGCUGGUGCCCGCCGCCUCCUGGGAAAGGCACUGUCCACAGCUCGACGGUCUGGCCUCACAGUCCAGGGACUACAUUUCCCAGAGAGCCUUGCGGACAGAGCCGGUCUUGCGCACUUUUCACUUCCGGACGCGGAAGGUUGUCGUGGAAACGCAGACGCUGCCGCGACCUCUUUCUUACCUUCUUGCGCGUGAGCAUGCACUAUGGUAAGGAGGGGGGGUGGGGGUGGCGACAAGGAACGGGAAGUAAUCCUUGGGCAACCGGAGGCUCCCGGGUCAGGGUCCCAGGGGUAGUUGCUUUUGGUUCCUGCGUGGCGUUGUUCCGCGCUGGCCCGCGUGGCUCCCGGAGGCGGUGAGUCCGGGCGCAACGCGGCAGAGGCGUCGGAAAUGCCGGGGGUAGGGUGUGCUGCUGGCCAGAGGACGGCAGGAGAGGUGGGGCGGAGCAGCAGCGCCUCUUUCGGCCGAGCCCGGACGAAUUCGCGGGGAACGUGGCGCGGGUGCUGCUGGGCCUUGGAGUCCGCGGGACUCUGGCCAUGCCUCCGGGGGUGUGGCCACGGACCCGCACUGGUCCCUUCCGCGGUGGGGUUUCUGCGCCUGUCUCUGGCGGUUCCCAGUUCUGUGCGGACUCGCCGUCUUUUCCACCCAGCUCCCCUAAACCAUUCUCACUUGCCCUGGGAAGUCUUUGAGGAUUUCCGCAGCUGAGGCCUCCUCUUUGCCCGCUCUGUACCUUCGCUCUCCUCUCCCGAAAGUGAGAGUAUGGACGCACCCGGGGAUAAAAUCAGAUCCUUAACCCUUCCAAAGGCUCUGCAAGAUCGCCCUGGCCACACAGCCUUCGCAUUUGCCGAUUCCGCUGCCUAGACUGCCCUCCCCUCUAAGUAUCAUCUCAGAGCACCUGGGGGUGAGAAGCCCAGCGGUGGGGGCUGUUCGAUGGGGCAACCUGGUUCUGGAGAGCCCUGACCAACCCUUUGAAGACAUGCUUUGGCGUUGAAAACGCAAUGAUAGCAAAUGAAAACGCCAUUGGAGGAAAAAAAUUCAGCAGUAUGCAGACCUUACAAAAGAAAAAGGAGACGUCCUCCACCUCCAGUUCUUUUCCCCAGAAUUGCCAGCCUAGGGGUUGGUGGUUUUCAAGAUCCUCUUCUGAACAUUUGUAGCAGUGGCCCUUUUUUGUCGUUUAAGUUUUUUUUUAUUUUAGUAUUUUUUUAUUACUCAAAUGAAUUUAUCACAUCUGUAGUUGUAUAAUGAUCAUAACAAUCCAGUUUCACAGGAUUUCCAUCCCACAGCCCAAGCACAUCCCCCCACCCCCAAACUGUCUCCUCCAGAGACCAUAAGUUUUUCAAUGUCUGUGAGUCAGCAGCUGUUCUGCAAAGAAGUUCCGUCUGUCCUUUUUUCAGAUUCCACAUGUCAGUGAAAGCGUUUGAUGUUGGUGUCUCAUUGUAUGGCUGGCUUCGCUUAGCAUAAUUUCUAGGUCCAUCCAUGUUGCUAAAAAUGCUGGUAUUUCAUUCCUUUUAAUGGCGGAGUAAUAUUCCAUUGUGUCUGUGUACCACAUCUUCUUGAUCCACUCCUCUGUCGAUGGACAUUUAGGUUGCUUCCAUGUCUUGGCUAUUGAAAAUAGUGCUGCAGUGAACAUCGGAGUACAUGUGUCUUUGUGAGUUGUGGUUUUCUCUGGAUAGAUGCCCAGGAGUGGGAUUGCUGGAUCAAAUGGUCGUUCUAUGUUUAGCUUUCUGAGGACUCUCCAUCCUGUUUUCCACAGUGGUUGCACCAAUUUACAAUCCCACCAACAGUGUACUAGGGUUCCUUUUUCUCCACACCCUCUCCAGCACUUAUUGUUUGUAGACUUUUGGAUGAUGGCCAUUCUGGCUGGUGUAAGGUGGUACCUCAUC